rnacentral:rRNA from 1 species
UACGGAGGGUGCAAGCGUUAUCCGGAUUCACUGGGUUUAAAGGGUGCGUAGGUUGAUAGGUAAGUCAGUGGUGAAAUACUCCGACUCAAUCGGAGAACUGCCGUUGAUACUAUCUAUCUUGAAUACGGUGGAGGCGGGCAGAAUGCGUCAUGUAGUGGUGAAAUACUUAGAUAUGACGCAGAAUACCCAUUGCGAAGGCAGCUCGCUACGCCGGCAUUGACGCUGAGGCACGAAAGCGUGGGGAUCAAACAGG